CAGGGAGGAGUUUUGUUAGAAUCCACGUCGACAAGCGCAAUGAAGGUGGAUGCCCAAUGCGCCACGACCUAACAAGCAAAGAGAGGGAAAGAAAACGACUCGGAGAGCGAGCGAGCGAGUGAGGAAGCAACCAAACCAUUUCCGCACCAAAAUUUCCCUACCAACUUCAUCGUUUCUCCUCUCUUACUCUAAUUCUCGCUGUUGUUUUCUUCAUUGGAACCAUCGGUUUCUGUAUUCGUUGAAAUUUAGCCCCUCGCUGAUCAUAUUUCUUUUGAUUUCGUCUUUUGCGCGGUUCUUUUCUGCUAUGGCUAUGGACGACACGGAGAGCUGCAGCAGUAGAGCGGUGGAUGGUUUCUCGACUCGGAGUUGGAGGCAGAAGCAGAAGGUUGAUGUUUACGACGAAGUUCUUCGUCGACUCAGAGUGUCGCAUGAGGCGGAGACCAGCGUUCCUGGUUUUGAGGAUGAACUUUGGGCUCAUUUUCAUCGCCUUCCUACUCGGUAUGCUAUGGACGUCAAUGUAGAGAGGGCUGAAGAUGUUCUCAUGCACAAAAAUCUUCUCUUCAUGGCGCAUGAUCCUGCUGCUCGACCUGCAAUUGAUGUCCGUCUUGUACAGGUUCAUUCAUCUCCUGGUGGGAACUCUGGCAAGUCUGUCCAUUCGAACUUGAAGGAAAAAGUGGACCAGCGGUUUUCUGAUUAUGCCAGUAAUCAGAGACACCACCCACCACCAGCAUUUGGUUCAUCAACAGAGGUUGAAUAUGGUUUUAAAGCCAACGAGUUACAUGAUAGAGAUCAGUCUGGCACUCUCUCCUGGCCAAUGCAUGAAAUUACAAUAUCAACAAUUGAUAAGCCAAAGCUACUCAGUCAGUUGACGUCCUUGCUUUCUGAGAUUGAGUUGAAUAUUCAAGAAGCGCAUGCUUUUUCAACAACAGAUGGCUUUUCCUUGGAUGUUUUUGUAGUAGAUGGUUGGGCAAUUGAGGACACCAAGAAGCUAAAAGAUGUACUGGCUGAGGAAAUAUCAAAUAUUCAGGUAAAAAGGCAUCCUUCAGUUGCACCUUGGAGCGUUUCCCAUACUGGGAAGCAAGAUCAAACUGGAGUUAAGUUCAUUACAAAUUGUGUCAACAUUCCAAAGGACGAAGUUGAUGUUUGGGAAAUUGAUGCGAGCCUGUUAAUCUAUGAAAAGAAAAUUGUGUCUGGAUCUUUUAGUGACUUGUAUAGAGGAACUUUCUAUGGUCAAGAUGUGGCUAUUAAGCUUCUCAAAGAUGAAAACUUGAAUGAGACUGUGCGGCGGGAAUUUGCUCAAGAAAUUCAUAUCAUGAGAAAAAUUCGGCAUAAGAAUGUUGUCCAAUUUAUUGGUGCAUGUACCAGACCUCCAAGCUUGUGCAUUGUUACAGAAUACAUGUCUGGUGGAAGCAUGCACGACUUUUGCCAUCAACAAAAGGGCGUUCUUAGUUUUCCAUCCUUACUAAGAGUGGCAGUUGAUGUGUCCAAGGGAAUGGACUAUUUGCAUCAGAAGAAUAUCAUCCAUAGAGAUCUGAAAGCUGCAAAUCUUUUGAUGGACGAAGAUGGGGUUGUCAAGGUAGCUGAUUUUGGUGUUGCCAGAGUGCAAGCUCAAUCUGGUGUGAUGACUGCAGAAACUGGAACAUAUCGUUGGAUGGCUCCAGAGGUUAUUGAGCACAAACCAUAUGAUCAUAAAGCUGAUGUUUAUAGCUUUGGGAUAGUGUUGUGGGAGCUGCUAACAGGACGGCUGCCUUAUGAUAACCUGACUCCAUUACAAGCAGCAAUUGGCGUGGUCCAGAAGGGUCUGAGACCUAAGACUCCGAGGCAUGCUCAUCCAAUGAUCGUGGACUUGCUUAAGAAAUGCUGGCAGCAGGAUCCAUCUUUGAGACCCGAAUUCUCUGAAAUUACGAAACUUUUACAGCAGACGCUCAAGGAGGAGCUAUGUGGAAGAUGAUCAAAUUUUUGGGCAGGAGCAGGGCGUCCUAUGGAGGAACAAGGAUACGAUUCCUAACUACAUAUUCUGCCUGGCCAUCGUUUUCUAAAUGCUGCCCGACGCACGCACGAAGUUGAUGAGAUGUAGUUGCUCAUCUUUAUUGGGAUCGCAUAAUUGAGAUAAAUGAUCAAGAUCCGGAUCAAAAUGUUGUUUGAAUUUUGUUGCUCCAUUUAUAAGAAUAUGAUCAACGAAGUUUCAUGAUUGAAUGUGGGGAGACAACAUCUCAACCAUGCCAAACAACAAGAUUUUAUCAUCGGGGGAAAAAGCCUUUCAAGUUCAACCAUGCCAGACAAAGGAGUUUCACAAUUUUUAAAAAUUAUUUUUAUUAUUUUAAUAAUGUAAUUUUCUUUUUAGUUUUUAGU